CAUGCGAGUCGAACGAUGAUGCCCAGCUUGCUGGGCGGAUUAGUGGCGAACGGGUGAGUAAUACGUGAGUAACCUGCCCUUGACUCUGGGAUAAGCCUGGGAAACUGGGUCUAAUACUGGAUACUACCUCUUGCCGCAUGGUGGGUGGUGGAAAGGGUUUUACUGGUUUUGGAUGGGCUCACGGCCUAUCAGCUUGUUGGUGGGGUAAUGGCUCACCAAGGCGACGACGGGUAGCCGGCCUGAGAGGGUGACCGGCCACACUGGGACUGAGACACGGCCCACACUCCUACGGGAGGCAGCAGUGGGGAAUAUUGCACAAUGGGCGGAAGCCUGAUGCAGCGACGCCGCGUGAGGGAUGACGGCCUUCGGGUUGUAAACCUCUUUCAGUAGGGAAGAAGCGAGAGUGACGGUACCUGCAGAAGAAGCGCCGGCUAACUACGUGCCAGCAGCCGCGGUAAUACGUAGGGCGCAAGCGUUGUCCGGAAUUAUUGGGCGUAAAGAGCUCGUAGGCGGUUUGUCGCGUCUGCUGUGAAAGCCCGGGGCUCAACCCCGGGUCUGCAGUGGGUACGGGCAGACUAGAGUGCAGUAGGGGAGACUGGAAUUCCUGGUGUAGCGGUGAAAUGCGCAGAUAUCAGGAGGAACACCGAUGGCGAAGGCAGGUCUCUGGGCUGUUACUGACGCUGAGGAGCGAAAGCAUGGGGAGCGAACAGGAUUAGAUACCCUGGUAGUCCAUGCCGUAAACGUUGGGCACUAGGUGUGGGGGACAUUCCACGUUUUCCGCGCCGUAGCUAACGCAUUAAGUGCCCCGCCUGGGGAGUACGGCCGCAAGGCUAAAACUCAAAGGAAUUGACGGGGGCCCGCACAAGCGGCGGAGCAUGCGGAUUAAUUCGAUGCAACGCGAAGAACCUUACCAAGGCUUGACAUUCACCGGACCGCCCCAGAGAUGGGGUUUCCCUUCGGGGCUGGUGGACAGGUGGUGCAUGGUUGUCGUCAGCUCGUGUCGUGAGAUGUUGGGUUAAGUCCCGCAACGAGCGCAACCCUCGUUCUAUGUUGCCAGCACGUGAUGGUGGGGACUCAUAGGAGACUGCCGGGGUCAACUCGGAGGAAGGUGGGGAUGACGUCAAAUCAUCAUGCCCCUUAUGUCUUGGGCUUCACGCAUGCUACAAUGGCCGGUACAAAGGGUUGCGAUACUGUGAGGUGGAGCUAAUCCCAAAAAGCCGGUCUCAGUUCGGAUUGAGGUCUGCAACUCGACCUCAUGAAGUCGGAGUCGCUAGUAAUCGCAGAUCAGCAACGCUGCGGUGAAUACGUUCCCGGGCCUUGUACACACCGCCCGUCAAGUCACGAAAGUUGGUAACACCCGAAGCCGGUGGCCUAACCCCUUGUGGGAGGAGCCGUCGAA
rnacentral:rRNA from 1 species